rnacentral:rRNA from 1 species
AGCCUGACACCUGCCCGGUGCUGGAAGGUUAAGAGGAGAUGUCAUCGCAAGAGAAGCGUUGAAUUGAAGCCCCAGUAAACGGCGGCCGUAACUAUAACGGUCCUAAGGUAGCGAAAUUCCUUGUCGGGUAAGUUCCGACCUGCACGAAUGGUGUAAUGAUCUGGACACUGUCUCAACCGUGAGCUCGGUGAAAUUGUAGUAUCGGUGAAGAUGCCGAUUACCCGCGAUGGGACGAAAAGACCCCGUGAACCUUUACUAUAGCUUUACAUUGAAUUUGGGCAGACGAUGUGUAGGAUAGGCCGGAGCUUUGAAGGGGGUACGCCAGUAUCCUUGGAGCCGCCGUUGAAAUACGGCCCUUCGGUUGUUUGAGUUCUAACUCCCGGAUGGGAGGACACUGUAUGGUGGGUAGUUUGACUGGGGUGGUCGCCUCCAAAAGCGUAACGGAGGCUUCUAAAGGUGCCCUCAGACCGAUUGGUAACCGGUCGCAGAGUGUAAUGGCAUAAGG